rnacentral:rRNA from 1 species
UUGCAAGGGUAGCAUAAUAAUUAGUUUACUAAUUGUAAAAUCGUAUGAAAGAAUAAAUAAAGAUCUUAUUGUCUCAAAUUUACCAGUUGAACUUUAAUUUUUUAUUAAAAAGUUAAGAUUUAAUCAGAGGACGAGAAGACCCUAUAAAUCUUAACUUUUUAAUAAAAAAUUAAAGUUUGGUUGGGGCGACCGGUGAAAAGAUAAACUUCACCAAAACAAAAAUUUUAAUAAAAACAUCAUGCAAAGCAAGACCCUUAAAAAAGACUAGCAGAAAAAGUUACUUUAGGGAUAACAGCAUAAUUUUUUUUAAGAGACCUUAUCAACAAAAAAGUUUGUGACCUCGAUGUUGGAUUAAAUAAAUAUAAAGUGCAGCAAUUUUAAUAUUUUUAGUCUGUUCGACUUUAAUAAUUUACACGAUUUGA